CAGCCGUAAACUAUGCGCGUUAGGUGUACUGGUGACCACGAGUCACCGGGGUGCCGAAGGGAAACCGUGAAACGUGCCGCCUGGGAAGUACGGUCGCAAGGCUGAAACUUAAAGGAAUUGGCGGGGGAGCACCACAACAGGUGGAGCCUGCGGUUUAAUUGGACUCAACGCCGGGAAGCUCACCGGAUAAGACAGCUGAAUGAUUGUCAAUCUGAAGGUUUUACAUGACUAGCUGAGAGGAGGUGCAUGGCGUCAGUGACU
rnacentral:rRNA from 1 species